rnacentral:tmRNA from 14 species
GGGGCUGCCUUGGUUUUGACAUUUAAAAGUUAAGUAAAGUAUGAUGCAGGUCGGAGCCGCUAUUCUCCGUAAAAACAUGCAAUUUUAAAAUAACUGCUAACAAUAUAAUUCCUUUUAACUUCAAACAAAUAAACAAGAAUUCAUCUUCUUUAGCGUUUGCUGUUUAGUAUCUAAUAUAUUCUGUUAAAUUUUUUUGUUCACUAUAACUAGACUUUUCGUUUUUUUAUAGUUUAGAAUAACCUUUGAUUUUGUUCUGUUAAAAGAACUAUGCCUGUGAAUGAGUGCUUUAAUAAAAUUUAAAUGGACGUGGGUUCAAUUCCCAUCAGCUCCAU